CAAAUCCAAAUUUUAAGUGGGAAAGGCAACCACAAAUUCAAGUUUGGAGGGAGCAAUCAGAUAAUGGGGAAACUUUGGUCAAGUUGGAGUCCUAUGGCCCACUUGAAAGUAUCACUUUCUUUCAGGAAGCAUUGAAGAAUAAUGAGCUAAAUUAUAAUGGAAAUACAGUUUCUCUACCCUUCAACUUUUACAUCCUCAAAUGGGCUGCUGGUACUCGCCAGAUUCUAAAUGAUGUGC
rnacentral:misc_RNA from 1 species